GUGGGGAAUAUUGGGCAAUGGGCGCAAGCCUGACCCAGCAACGCCGCGUGAAGGAAGAAGGCUUUCGGGUUGUAAACUUCUUUUGUCAGGGACGAAGCAAGUGACGGUACCUGACGAAUAAGCCACGGCUAACUACGUGUCAGCAGCCGCGGUAAUACGUAGGUGGCAAGCGUUAUCCGGAUUUACUGGGUGUAAAGGGCGUGUAGGCGGGAAAGCAAGUCAGAUGUGAAAACUGUGGGCUCAACCCAUAGCUUGCAUUUGAAACUGUUUUUCUUGAGUACUGGAGAGGCAGAUGGAAUUCCUAGUGUAGCGGUGAAAUGCGUAGAUAUUAGGAGGAACACCAGUGGCGAAGGCGAUCUGCUGGACAGCAACUGACGCUGAGGCGCGAAAGCGUGGGGAGCAAACAGGAUUAGAAACCCGUGUAGUCC
rnacentral:rRNA from 1 species